UAGGGAAUCUUCCACAAUGGACGAAAGUCUGAUGGAGCAACGCCGCGUGAGUGAUGAAGGGUUUCGGCUCGUAAAACUCUGUUGUUGGAGAAGAACAGGUGUGAGAGUAACUGUUCACAUCUUGACGGUAUCCAACCAGAAAGCCACGGCUAACUACGUGCCAGCAGCCGCGGUAAUACGUAGGUGGCAAGCGUUGUCCGGAUUUAUUGGGCGUAAAGCGAGCGCAGGCGGUUUCUUUAGGUCUGAUGUGAAAGCCUUCGGCUUAACCGGAGAAGUGCAUCGGAAACCAGGAGACUUGAGUGCAGAAGAGGACAGUGGAACUCCAUGUGUAGCGGUGAAAUGCGUAGAUAUAUGGAAGAACACCAGUGGCGAAGGCGGCUGUCUGGUCUGUAACUGACGCUGAGGCUCGAAAGCAUGGGUAGCGAACAGGAUUAGAUACCCUUGGUAGUCC
rnacentral:rRNA from 1 species